GAUGAACGCUGGCGGCGUGCCUAAUACAUGCAAGUCGAGCGAACAGACGAGGAGCUUGCUCCUCUGACGUUAGCGGCGGACGGGUGAGUAACACGUGGAUAACCUACCUAUAAGACUGGGAUAACUUCGGGAAACCGGAGCUAAUACCGGAUAAUAUAUUGAACCGCAUGGUUCAAUAGUGAAAGACGGUUUUGCUGUCACUUAUAGAUGGAUCCGCGCCGCAUUAGCUAGUUGGUAAGGUAACGGCUUACCAAGGCAACGAUGCGUAGCCGACCUGAGAGGGUGAUCGGCCACACUGGAAGUGAGAAACGGUCCAGACUCCUACGGGAGGCAGCAGUAGGGAAUCUUCCGCAAUGGGCGAAAGCCUGACGGAGCAACGCCGCGUGAGUGAUGAAGGUCUUCGGAUCGUAAAACUCUGUUAUUAGGGAAGAACAAAUGUGUAAGUAACUAUGCACGUCUUGACGGUACCUAAUCAGAAAGCCACGGCUAACUACGUG
rnacentral:rRNA from 1 species